rnacentral:rRNA from 1 species
GACGAACGCUGGCGGCGUGCCUAAUACAUGCAAGUAGAACGCUGAAGGAGGAGCUUGCUUCUCUGGAUGAGUUGCGAACGGGUGAGUAACGCGUAGGUAACCUGCCUGGUAGCGGGGGAUAACUAUUGGAAACGAUAGCUAAUACCGCAUAAGAGUAGAUGUUGCAUGACAUUUGCUUAAAAGGUGCAAUUGCAUCACUACCAGAUGGACCUGCGUUGUAUUAGCUAGUUGGUGGGGUAACGGCUCACCAAGGCGACGAUGCAUAGCCGACCUGAGAGGGUGAUCGGCCACACUGGGACUGAGACACGGCCCAGACUCCUACGGGAGGCAGCAGUAGGGAAUCUUCGGCAAUGGACGGAAGUCUGACCGAGCAACGCCGCGUGAGUGAAGAAGGUUUUCGGAUCGGAAAGCUCUGUUGUAAGAGAAGAACGAGUGUGAGAGUGGAAAGUUCACACUGUGACGGUAUCUUACCAGAAAGGGACGGCUAACUACGUG